rnacentral:misc_RNA from 1 species
GAUGAAGAACGUAGCGAAAUGCGAUACGUAAUGUGAAUUGCAGAAUUCAGUGAAUCAUCGAAUCUUUGAACGCAUAUUGCGCUCUCUGGUAUUCCGGAGAGCAUGCUUGUUUGAGUAUCAGUAAACACCUCAACUUCCAUAUCUUUUUUGAAAUGGGAGUUGGACUUGAGUGAUCCCAACGCUUUUCCUCACCGAAAAGUGGCUGGUUACUUGAAAUGCAGGUGCAGCUGGACUUUUCUCUGAGCUAUAAGCAUAUCUAUUUAGUCUGCCUAAAAACAGAUUAUUACCUUUGCUGCAGCUAACAUAAAGGAGAUUAGUUCUUGUGCUGACUGAUGCAGGAUUCACAAAGACAGGCUUCGGCCGACUUUGUAAACUCGAUCUCAAAUCAAGUAAGACUACCCGCUGAACUUAAGCAUAUCAAUAAGCGGAGGA